UUNGACAAUCUGGUUGAUCCUGCCNGUCACAUACGCUUGUCUCAAGGAUUAAGCCAUGCAUGUCUAAGUAUAAACAAUUUUGUACUGUGAAACUGCGAAUAGCUCAUUAUAUCAGUUAUAGUUUAUUUGAUAGUACCUUACUACUUGGAUAACCGUAGUAAUUCUAGAGCUAAUACAUGCAUAAAUACCCGACUUUUUGGAAGGGUAGCAUUUAUUAGAAAGAAACCAAUGCGGCUUUGCCGGUAUUGAGUUGAAUCAUAAUAACUGUGCGGAUCGCACUCUGUGCGAUAAAUCAUAUAAGUUUCUGCCCUAUCAGGUUUGGAUGGUAGGGUAUUGGCCUACCAUGCCAGUAACGGGUAACGGAGUAUUAGGGUACGAUUCCGGAGAGGGAGCCUUAAAGACAGCUACCACUUCUAAGGAAGGCAGCAGGCGCGUAAAUUACCCAAUCCUGACACAGGGAGGUAGCGACAAUAAAUAACAAUGCCGGGCUUUUUAAAGUCUGGCAAUUGGAAUGAGAACAAUUUAAAUCCCUAUCGAGG
rnacentral:rRNA from 1 species